rfam:Hordeum vulgare subsp. vulgare, WGS project CAJW01000000 data, contig: morex_contig_2553749
CUAAUACUCCCUCCGCCCGAAAAUACUUGUCAUAUGAAUGAAUGUAUCUAGAUGUAUUUUAGUUCUAGGUACAUCCAUUUGUAUAGAUUUGUGCAACAAGUAAUUCUGGAUGUAGGGAGUACUCC